rnacentral:rRNA from 1 species
UGGCGAACGGGUGAGUAACACGUGGGUGAUCUGCCCUGCACUUCGGGAUAAGCCUGGGAAACUGGGUCUAAUACCGGAUAGGAGCCAUUUUUAGUGUGAUGGUUGGAAAGUUUUUUCGGUGUAGGAUGAGCUCGCGGCCUAUCAGCUUGUUGGUGGGGUAAUGGCCUACCAAGGCGGCGACGGGUAGCCGGCCUGAGAGGGUGGACGGCCACACUGGGACUGAGAUACGGCCCAG